rnacentral:rRNA from 1 species
GACAGAGGGGGCAAGCGUUGCUCGGAAUCACUGGGCGUAAAGGGCGCGUAGGCGGGAUGGCAAGUCGGUCGUGAAAUCCUUCGGCUCAACCGAAGAACGUCGGCCGAUACUGCCGUUCUUGAGGGAUGCAGAGGAGAUUGGAAUUCCCGGUGUAGCGGUGAAAUGUGUAGAGAUCGGGAGGAACACCGGUGGCGAAGGCGGGUCUCUGGGCAUCUCCUGACGCUGAGGCACGAAGGUCAGGGGAGCAAACGGG